ACAACGUAUUAUGUCCAAGUGGACUAACCGUAGGUGGUCAUCUUAACUACACAUCCGGUUGCAACAAGAAAGACGAUUUAAUGGUAUCAAGACGCUUUAUAGUGCACAUUACGGCGCUAUUCUAAAAUCUGAACAUUGUAUAUCAUGUAGCUGAUUGAACAUCGCUACUUUUUAUUGUUUCGGAUUAACUUCCCUAGGUGCAAUUCAGAAGAGUUUCAAGCUAGUUUAGCUUGCUAGCUGUUUGGGAACAAAGAGACGCAGAAGAAAGCCAGAAAAAUAUCGAGAUUCCGGAGAGUAACUUUCUCGAACAAAAACAACGUGCGAAAUUGUCAACCACUGGAAGCUAGUUUUCUGAAGACUCGAGUAAUAUUACGGAGAGCAGAACAUUCCACCAAGAUGACGACCAAAUGUCAUGUUGCUACUCUCUCUGUUGUAGUAUCAAGACUGAACUGUCAGCAGCGCCAUACGAGAGAGCAUGUAUAAUGAUGGAUUACAAAGUCCAAAGCUCGAGCUCAGUGAGGUUGGAUGGAGAGUGUUUGUGAACAGCAGUCUUCAGUUCUGCCCACAGAUUCUCAAUUGGAUUCAGGUCUUUUGCGGACUCCAACAGGUUUUCUUCCAGAAUGGUCCUGUAUUUUGCCCCAUUCAUCUUCCCAUCAAUUUGAACAAUCUUCCCUGUCCCUGCUGAAGAAAAGGAAGCCCAAAACAUGAGGCUGCCACCACCAUGUUUGACAGUGGGGAUGAUGUGUUCAGGGUGAUGAGCUCUGUUGCUUUUACGCCAAACAUAUCGUUCUGCAUUGUGGGCAAUGAGUUUGAUUUUGCUUUCAUGCGACCAGAGCACCUUCUUCCACACGUUUGGUGUGUCUCCCAGGUGGCUUGUGGCAAUCUUUAAAUGAUACUUUUUAUGGAUAUCUUUGAGAAAUGGCUUUCUUCUUGCCACUCUUCCAUAAAGGCCAGGUUUGUCCAGUAUACAUCUGAUUGUUGUCUUAUGGAAAGACUCUCCAACCUCACCUGUAGAUCUCUGCAGUUCACCCAGAGUGAUCAUGGGUCUCUUGGCUGCAUCUCUGAUCAGUCUUCUCCUUGUUCAAGGUGACAAUUUAGAGGGAUGCCUGGGUCUUGCUAGUUUUGCAGUGGUCUGAUACUCAUUCAGUUUCAAGAUGAUUGCUUGCACAGUGCUCCUUGAGAUGCUUAAAGCUUGGGAAAUCUUUUUGUAUCCAAAUCCGGCUUGAAACUUCUCUACAACAGUAUCUCGGACCUGCCUGGUGUGUUCCUUGGUCUUCAUGCUGCUCUCUGCACUUUAAACAGAACCCUGAGACAAUCACAGAGCAGGUGCAUUUAUACGGAGUCUUGAUUAUACACAGGUGGGUUUUAUCUAUCAUCAUCAGUCAACAUUGGAUCAUUCAGAUAUCCUCACUUAUUCUGGAGUGUGUUUGCCGCACUAAAAGUAAAGGGGCCGAAUAAUAUUGCGUGCCUUAUUUUUCAGUUUUUUAUUUGUUAAAAUGUAUAAACUAUCCAAUAAAUUUCAUUCCACUUCACAAUUGUGUCCCACUUGUUGAUUCUUGACAAAAAAAAAAAAGAAAAUUUUACAUCCUUAUGUUUGAAGCCUGAAAUGUGGCAAAAGGUUGAAAAGUUCAAAGGGAGCAAAUACUUUCACAAGGCACUGUACUUUCCAGUAUUCAUUUUCACCCCUUCAGGGACCCGAAAGAGUACAAACUCCCUCCCUGGCAUUUUUCCGGCCAAAUACAUGAUGUACAACGUGGGUUUUGGGAGUGUUUGCUGAAAUUUCUCAGUGGGAUGUCAAUCGCUCCCAUUUAGUUGUCAACUGCCUCCCACCUGGAACGAGCUUUUGCUUUAAGAUCCUCCAAAAGUUCUCACUAGGGUUACAUUCAAAGGAGGAUGGGGGCCACCAAAAGACACAAAGUUGAUGGCUUGAAAAUUAUGCCAGUGAUAUGUAGCAACUAAGAAAAUCACAAGUGUGUCCAACAGCACCAUCUUCUGUCAGAUUUUGGAUGACCUCCUGUUCCAAUGCACAUCACGAUCAUUCUGAAGUCUGUGGCUUAGUACAACUUUGUGUCGCAUCGACAUAUAAUUUGUUUGGAUUCCAUGAAAUCAAUUUUAGUCAUAUACUAGUAUCGCCAAUUUACAAAAGAAGAUGUCAAGGUACUUUAUCUAUGAAGAAAGCACAGAUUUAUGCUCCUCACAGAUUAAGAGACCAACUGAACCUCACAUGAGCAAGCACUAGAAGGCCAGGAAAAACUCCAGAUCCCAGACUCUGUGUAGGCAGCCGUCCACUUUGACUGGUUGGGUUGAGAUUGGGCGACAGAGGAGGGGGACAUUAGGCAGAGAGACAGGAUGAGGAGUACACUGUAUAAAUUGUACAGUACUAUCGAUAAUAAUAUUAUUGGAAAAAUGACAAGGAUUGAUUAGCAUAUAUUUUGAACAGAUUCCACAGUUACGAUUGUUGGCCCAACCAUCUUCUGUACAAACUAUGAAGGAUAAAUGUCUCACUAUUGGGUAAUCGCUCAGUGUUGUUGUUUUGACCUUUUGUAAAUAACUAUAAUUUAUAAACAAAUAAUUCAUAUCCCUCUCACCUAGUUUUUCGUUAGUGUGCAUGAGUUUUAAAUCUGUUGCAUUGGUCUUUUGCUGCUUCAACUACUCAAAUUCCCUGCUAUGGGAUUGGUAGUCUUCUCUUGAACUAUUUUAGUUUUUAAAUUUUAAUCCUCUUGAAGGUGAUACA